UGUUAGGUAGCCACAGCUAGAGCCUAAACAAAAAGUGUAACAUUUGAAUUAUAGGCAAGAAAAAUUAAUCCUGCAGGGAAGGGCAGAAGACAGAAAAUUCUAGUAAUCAUGGAAAAGAGCUGUACUUGAUCAGAGAGGCAAAAUAGGACUUUAAGAAAUGUAAAUGGGUUAAAGGAAGUAGAUGCAUUUCUUCCUCUGAAUCACAUCAUAAGAACUGUUCCUGGAGCAGACAUUAUCAUCUUCAUAUCCACAGAAGAAGAGAGAUAAGAAGGUGGAUAAGAAGACAGCUCGAGGCGGAUGCAUCUUCAAGGGCAGGACUUAUAUGAUCAAGGAUAAUUCUUAUAUCUGCAAGUCCUUGGCAUGAGUGAGUGUAAUAAUUGGACAGAGUCUGAAACUCUGAGGAAAAGGAAAUGGACUUUGAAGAAACCUGGAAGAACUUGAGGAAAUAACAGCGUGUUACUGCAGUAAACAGCUGCUUCACGGGCCCGGUGGCUCACGCCUGUAAUCCCAGCACUUUGGGAGGCCGAGGCGGGUGGAUCACGAGGUCAGGAGAUCGAGACCAUCCUGGCUAACACGGGGAAACCCUGUCUCUACUAAAAAUGCAAAAAAUUAGCUGGGCGUGGUGGCAGGCGCCUGUAGUCCCAGCUACUCGGGAGGCUGAGGCAGGAGAAUGGCGUGAACCCGGGAGGCGGAGCUUGCAGUGAGCUGAGAUCGUGCCACUGCACUCCAGCCUGGGUGACAGAGCGAGACUCCGUUUCAAAAACAAAAACAAAAACAAACAAACCAAAAAACACAGCUGCUUAAAAUGUCGGAGCAAUAGGAAUGGGAUUGCUCUUUCUUUAAUAUGACAGACCAGUUCUAUCACGAUGACCAAUUAAUUUUUGUAGAUACUUAAUUUUUGCUAUUGCAUAGCAAUAACAUUUAGGAAACCAUGUCUUCUUUUCUCUUAGAAAACUAGGUACAAAGAUGAGUACUGGAAUAUUGGCCUACGUCUAAUUGUCACAGUCAGUUGAGAAACCACAUUGUAGCAAAAGGUUGAGACUUAGAAAGUCCCCAGCCUCUUGUCUAUAGAUUGGCACUAGGGGGUCAUACAGUUUGUCAUUUGUAUCAACUUGGUGACAGCCAGUUGAUAAGUAUUGGGCAUGUAACUCAAGUGUAGCAAAUCUAUAUGAUAACUGGUGGCCUAACUGGAAUAUUGGUGACUAACUAAACCAGUCGUAUUUUUAUCCCAGGAAAUUUGUGCAGAAACAUAAAGUUGAGCAUCUGUAGACUUAAUGCAGUAAGCAGAGUCCAUGAAGCACUAAAAACUGUGAGAAAGCAGAAACCACAAGACAGGAGAGCCCUGUCAUAGAAGUCAGUGACAGUAGGAGCAGACAAGCAGAAGUGUGGAGAGUUGUGCUAUCUCCCUGAUGAUGAAACCUUAGGGUGAGGAUCAGCCCUGCUCUUGAGGGGUAAUGUGAUAAUCAGGUCACCAGGGCUGAUGGAUCUUAAAAUGCUGUCUGCCCAGUUCCUGAGGUCCAGCUUUUAAUCCAGGCUCCAGUCUUUGAGAACCUGGCAGUAACAGUGUACCUGCUCUUCUUGGAAACCUAGUAGUGCAGAUUUUUCUAGACUCUUGUAUAAAACUCAGAAAUAUGGUCAAAAUUCCUUACUUCCUUAUUUUCAUAUGUAUCUUUAUAAUAAAUCUCUCAUUUCUUAGUUCAACUGAGUGAAUUUCUGUUCCUAGCAACAAAAAGCAUCUGGCACAUUAUAUUCGAAAUAUAUCUUGGAAUAUAUAUAUGCACAUAUGUAUCAGCCUUAUUUUUGAAGAAUGUUAUAACUCAUGCAACAAGUAUUUAUUGAAAAGCUAAUGAGAUACUGGGAAAAUGAGAGGAAAGAAAGUUGUUUUUGUUUUGUUUUGUUUUGCAAGAGGUCAACCUAACUCAUGCUCCAUCUAUUAUACAAGUAUUCAUACCUGAGAAUUUUAAACCAUGUGUGCCCUCAGACAUAAAGUCCAUAACAAGAUUCUAUAUCAUAUUUAGCUGUAAUAAAGGGCAACAAGAAUAUUUUAGAGCUUAG
rnacentral:lncRNA from 1 species